rnacentral:lncRNA from 1 species
GGCGGAUCCCUGAUGUGUUUUGCUGUUUUCUCUCCUCAGGGCAACGCCGCGAACGACGGACCACCCGGCCCGCCUGGAGAGAGGGGACCCAACGGACCUCAGGGACCUGUCGGCUUCCCUGGGCCUAAAGGACCCAACGGCCCAGCGGGAAAAGACGGGCUGCCCGGACAUCCCGGACAGAGAGGAGAGACUGUGAGUAAAAUAGUCCACAAUGUGUCAGUCAUUCAAAAGAGUAGCCAUGUAUAAUAUCAGAAU